UUCAUCCAUCAAACUCAGCUGAAUGCCCCAUGAACCCUAAAACCGAGUUCCCAUGAUAGUUGCUAGGGUGACAAUCAUAAACAAAACAGAAAUUCCUUCCCUGGAGCAGGAAUGUAGCUAUGCAAAGAGAAAGUACAGUCAUGAAGAAAACUCUGAAGGCAGUCGGCCUCAGAGAGAUGAAACUGUGAGAGCUGAUAAGAUUUUCAACCUGAAUCCAGCCUGGAUCCCUCCACGGGACCUGAACUGUCACCACUGACCUGGCAUAGCUAGGAGCCGGUCGGCAAGGUGGGACCUGGAAGAGCGUAUAGAAAGGGAAUGUUAUGUACAAAGACGUGAAAGAUCAUGGCAUGUUGGCAGAAAGAGAAUUGAAAUCAAAAGGUAGACGGAGAAGAAUGAAACAAAGCCACAGAAAGUGCUAGACCUGGAUGGUGUGUUGUUUUCCAGCCUUUUUCCAAAGGCCAGGGUUCGCUGAAGUGGAGUAGAGGCUGACCUUCUGCCUCAGUCUCUCAAAUGCUGGAUUACAGACAUGUUCCAUCAAGCCCCACCAGAUGUCCUACUUACACCGUGGCCGGAUGACCCUCUCCUGACUGCUUCCUCUGCCUUUUCCUGAACGUGCACUUCCCCAGAAGAUCUUUGCUUGUUGCGUUUACCCCUUGUCCUGCCAUGGCCAAGUGCCACGGGCAGCGUGGCUUCAACAGAAAACCAUUGCCUCAUGGUUCUGGAGGCUGGACAUCCCAGGUCAAGGUGUCGGACGUGUUAGUUUCCUGGAUUGCAAAUGGCCACCCUCUCCCAGUAUGUUCUGUUGGUCUUUCCUCUGUGUAGCAGAAUCUUAAAAGUUCUUAUUAAUAAAAUCAAACC